rnacentral:lncRNA from 1 species
GAAAGACAAAGGCCGAGGAACUGCCCCAGACUGGAGGAGGCGGGAGACAUGGCAGCUGUGAAUGCACCGUGGGUCCUGAACCAGAAAAAGGAGCUCAGUGGGACGAUUGGUAACUUUUUGAUGCAAUCUGUCGCAUCUGAAAAGAAAACACAAGAGGUUCGGUUGGUGCAAUGUUCCUUUCUUCCCAGGACUUUCUGGUCUUCAAGGCUUUCUCAUGAGACAGAAGACUGAUGGAUGUAGAAGUUUCUAAGAGGACAGUUACGCUGCCAUGUUUUGAAGCAGGAAGACGUUACCACUUCUCAAAGGUCUUUAAUUGCCUGACCACUGCUUCUCUUUGGAAGGCUGUCAGGGUGAUGGAAUCUCAGAUCACAGCACAGAUAAAAUGGACAAAGAAAGAAAGAUACAAGAAGGAUGUAAAAAUGUCCAUAAUGAACUCAUGUAUCUUGCGGAAACCUCUAAUCUAAUGAGAAUGGAUUUUGUUGAGAAGAUUGUACACCAACAAUUAAUUAUUCAUGGCAGAGACAUCAUUAAGAUUUCAUUUUGUUUAAAGGCCUCUAAGUGACUUAGGAAAUUAGGUUAAGCUAGAGAAGAAUUUCAAGAAAGAGACAAGGGAAAGCUUUUCGUUAUAUUGACUUUUUCUAAUAUUUUCCAGAUAGAUAUUUUGACUUGGUACAUAAAUUAUACUCUGACUAAAAAUCUCCAAUGAUUUGUCUGAGUAAGAGUCUUCACAUGGGUGGAUCAUAUACCAGUGUGGUCAGAUGGAAGCAGAUGGACAGAGAUUUGUGAAAGGAUUAGGAGGUUCAUUCCAGAAUUCUAUAAUAAUUCAAUUUGGCUUUUUGGUUAGGAAUGUAGUGAGGAGUCUCCUUGAAAUGACAAUGGGAUUUGUGCAACCUGUGACAUUUUGCACUCAAGGAUCCUUUUCCCAGUGCCCUAUGGGAUGUGAGCACCUGUUCACUUACAGUACAUGUAAGAUAAGACACUUUUAAUAAAAACUCUGGAGACCUGGUGUAGUAUAGGCCCUAUGCCUGCUUAUCUUAAAGACAAACACCAGAAACUGGUGUCACGUUGUGAGUUCAAUGUGAGAUUGAUUCAAAACAUAAAGCUAGAGAUCUAGUGUAAAUUUUCAGAGGGAUAUUGAUUACAGGAUCAAUUUCUAUGGGCAAUUAAUGCAGGGGUUUGGUUUAUGUUUGAAUUCCAAGCACCCAGUGGUAUUCAAAAAUAGCAUCCAAUUUUACAUAAAAUGUAAAAUUACAUUUUGUGUUCGAUUUGGGCACCCUGUCAUGAUUUACAAUAAAGGUUUGGGCUUUUGUUUUCUUGUUCCUUCAUUAGAAAGGUUAGAACUUGCCUUUCCUCCAUGAUCACUAUUCCAGUGUCCCGGGUGCUUGGGAUUCAAAACUAAACUAAAAUUUCUUAGUGGUUGAGAAAUGUUAAGGUUGAAAUAGUAGAUCAGGCCAUGUCUGCAUGGAGAACAUCACAGCAACUGAGAACUGCAAUAGAAGAGGCUUGGUAAAGGGAGAAUCUCUUCCCUGUUUGUGAAUUAAAUAGUCCUGUAACACCUUUAGGGUAAUAAAGAAUUAGGGUUGGCGCCCUGCACCUACACGGCUAGAGUUGGGGAGAAAAUAGACCUCCAGAUGUGGAGCCAGGAAGACCUGGGUUGAGUUUUUAGCUGUGUCCUGGGCCAACAACCACAGCAGCAGCAACACCCACCACAUGCACCGGUCUCCAUCUGCCUCAAAGAACUACACACUGUAGUAGAGGGAAAGAGUCAAUAAUCAAUAAAUGCACCAAAUAAGUAAAUUAUGUAAAUUUAUAUAAAAGAGUCAAUAAAUAGUAAGUGCAAAAAAUAAGUAAAUAAGUACAUCUAUUAUGGUAAAAAGUGAUCAUUGCUAUAGAAAAAAAUAGAGGUGUGCCUAAUAAUUUAUUUAUGAAAAUCUGCUUUAACAUUUUUCGGAAAGCUGUCUCCUGGAAAAACAAGUAGUCUCUUAACUUUAUACAUUUCCAGGACAAAAUAUUAUAACCACUGCUUAACUGAUGGUGAUAUCAAGUCAAAAUGUAUGCAGCUUUUAUACAAUGGCAGCUCUAAUUUCCAGCAGCACAGAAAUUCUCCCAGUGAUUCCCUUAUUUUAAUAUCACAGCUAACCACCUAUUUAUGUGUUUCUUUAUCUCAGCCUCUCUGUACCUCUGUGUUACGUGGAGAGACGAGAUGGCAUGUUGUUUAUGUAGCUUGAUACAUACCAUAGCCAGAAUUCCAGAACACAGUUUACAUACUUUACAGUUAAAUGUUUAGGCCUCAAGAACAGGAAUCAAAUACUUUGCUUUCAACACUGCUUCCUUCAUGAGAAGGAGAAAUCUCAUCCCUGAGGGUGGCUCCAGGGCCCUGGCCCCAGUAAAACACAAGCCCUGGAACAAAGCAGAGGCCUGGGUAGAAGGAAUUGUUUGCUCUGUUAGCUUAGCUUGAGGCCAAAUAGAGGGAAUUUGUUUUCAAGCCAGACAGGUGCACUUGAGGGUACAGAAAGGAGACUGGCAUUUGGGAUUGAGCCUCAGGAUGGGUCCAUCUUGACCUGUUUUUUUUUUUUUUUCAACUGAUUAGUCAAUCAUGGCUUGUUGCUUCUUAAGUCCUAAGAAUUUUAGAAUUCAGGCAGCCAGUAAUGGUUUACAAUAAAGACUUGGCACUUUGGGAGGCCGAGGCAGGUGGAUCACCUGAGGUCAGCAGUUUGAGACUAGCCUGGCCAAGAUGGGGAAACCUCAUCUCUACUAAAAAUAAAAAAAAUUAGCGGGG